UACGGAGGGUGCGAGCGUUGUUCGGAAUCACUGGGCGUAAAGCGCGUGUAGGCGGCUUCUUAAGUCUGGUGUGAAAGCCCGGGGCUUACCCCCGGAAGUGCACUGGAUACUGGGAGGCUAGAGUACCGGAGAGGAGGGUGGAAUUCCUGGUGUAGCGGUGAAAUGCGUAGAUAUCAGGAGGAACACCGGUGGCGAAGGCGGCCCUCUGGACGGCUACUGACGCUGAGACGCGAAAGCGUGGGGAGCAAACAGG
rnacentral:rRNA from 1 species